CCUACGGGUGGCAGCAGUGAGGAAUAUUGGUCAAUGGCCGGAAGGCUGAACCAGCCAUGCCGCGUGAAGGUCAGUGCCCUAUGGGCGUUAAACUUCUUUUGUGCGGGAGCAAUAAUGGUCACGUGUGGCCAGACGAGAGUACCGUACGAAUAAGCAUCGGCUAACUCCGUGCCAGCAGCCGCGGUAAUACGGGGGAUGCAAGCGUUAUCCGGAUUUAUUGGGGUUAAAGGGUGCGUAGGCUGUGAGGUAAGUCAGCGGUGAAAUGCCCCCGCUCAACGGGGUGAAGUGCAAUUGAUACUGCAUUGAUGGAAUGCGGAUGCCGUGGGAGGAAUGUGUGGUGGAGCGGUGAAAUGCAUAGAUAUCACACAGAACACCGAUUGCGAAGGCAUCUCACGAAUCCGCGAUUGACGCUGAUGCACGAAAGCGUGGGUAUCAAACAGGAUUAGAUACCCCUGUAGUC
rnacentral:rRNA from 1 species